rnacentral:rRNA from 1 species
UUUGAUCCUGGCUCAGGACGAACGCUGGCGGCGUGCUUAACACAUGCAAGUCGAGCGGUAAGGCCUUUCGGGGUACACGAGCGGCGAACGGGUGAGUAACACGUGGGUGAUCUGCCCUGCACUCUGGGAUAAGCCUGGGAAACUGGGUCUAAUACCGGAUAUGACCUGCUCUCGCAUGGGGGUGGGUGGAAAGAUUUAUCGGUGCAGGAUGGGCCCGCGGCCUAUCAGCUUGUUGGUGGGGUAAUGGCCUACCAAGGCGACGACGGGUAGCCGACCUGAGAGGGUGACCGGCCACACUGGGACUGAGACACGGCCCAGACUCUACGGGAGGCAGCAGUGGGGAAUAUUGCACAAUGGGCGAAAGCCUGAUGCAGCGACGCCGCGUGAGGGAUGAAGGCUUCGGGUUGUAAACCUCUUUCAGCAGGGACGAAGCGCAAGUGACGGUACCUGCAGAAGAAGCACCGGCUAACUACGUGCCAGCAGCCGCGGUAAUACGUAGGGUGCGAGCGUUGUCCGGAAUUACUGGGCGUAAAGAGUUCGUAGGCGGUUUGUCGCGUCGUUUGUGAAAACCCGGGGCUCAACUUCGGGCUUGCAGGCGAUACGGGCAGACUUGAGUGUUUCAGGGGAGACUGGAAUUCCUGGUGUAGCGGUGAAAUGCGCAGAUAUCAGGAGGAACACCGGUGGCGAAGGCGGGUNUCUGG